AAAGACCCUAUGAAGCUUUACUGUAACUUGAGAUUGAAAUUGGACUUUAUUCGCGCAGUAUAGGUGGGAGGCAUUGAAAAUAUUCUUGCGGGAAUAUUGGAGCCAUCAGUGAGAUACCACUCUUGUAAUGUUAGAUUUCUAACUUUGUAUCAUUAUCUGGUCAAAGAACAGUUUCAGGCGGGCAGUUUGACUGGGGCGGUCGCCUCCUAAAUGGUAACGGAGGCGCACAAAGGUUUCCUCUGAACGGGUAGAAAUCGUAUCUAGAGUGUAAAGGCAUAAGGAAGCUUGACUGUGAGACCUACAAGUCGAGCAGGGACGAAAGUCGGUCUUAGUGAUCUGACGGUGCUGAGUGGAAAGGCCGUCACUCAACGGAUAAAAGUUACUCUAGGGAUAACAGGCUGA
rnacentral:rRNA from 1 species